rnacentral:lncRNA from 1 species
AAAGGGUAAAGUAGCUCUAGUUUUUCAACUUCUUUUCCUAUAGCAAAAAACUCCAGAAUAUUGCAUGGAGUGAACCAAGAACAACUCAAUGAAGGAGAGUGUUUAGGCUCACAUGAUCCACAAAUCAGUGUACCAGGAUCAGAAGAUUCACAAGCCCCAUUCUUCUUGUAAUUGGCAGGUUCAUCCUCUCUAAUGGACCUGCCCAAUGUCACACCAAAUUUAAAAUCUUAAUUUAUUUUUGUACUGAUGUGAUGACUGUAGUUUUUCCUUUAGUGCUAUUUUUUAAUGAAAACAUCAUUAAAUGCCCUAGACUAUGCAACCAUUAUUUUAUAUUAUAAUAAUAUUAUCUUGUUUAUAAGUAGGAGCUUUUUCUCAUAACCUGAAAUAGAAUUUUUUUGCUUCAAAGAUUUCAAACUGUUGUCAAAUGGUGGUUCUGUUGGCAUGAACAUUUAAUUUCUAUUGCUUGCUUCUAGAAGAUUAGCACCAAAAUUCAUAUGCAUUUCUUGUAGCCUAGCUAAUCAAAAUAUGAAGGUGCUGUUCACAUAGCUUUUAUCAGCCUAUUUUCAUAGUUUUCUUACUUUUAGAAUGAAAACUGCAAUUAUAUGUUGUGAAUUUUUAUGUCUCUGCUGAUAUCCCUCUCACUGUGUGUUACAGCAGAGUUUAGACAAGCUGAAAUAAGCAGAUAAAGUGGAGAAAUAAAAAGAACAGGCCAGUGUUGUUGACUUCCAACAGAAACAUUGUUACGGGGUCUUAGAAUAUUUCUUAGCCCGUUAAUCUAACAUCUCUCUUUAUAUAAAUACAUGAUUAACUUUUAUUGAAUAUUUAUGCUUAAUAAGGCCUAAUCACUUCAUUUCAUAUCUGGCUUGGUUUUUUUUUUUUUUUUCUUAAUUUGGAAUCUCCUGUAGACUCGCUGAGUUAUUGGCAUUUGCCUGAUAACAUCUCUUAGAAAAUUAAUAUACAGUCCUUUCUAUGAUUUUACUGUCUGUUAUCGACACACCCAAUUUUACGAUUUAGUUUCUCAUGUCUUUUUAGUGAGGAAAGCUCGCUUUUAAACACUGUUAGAAAUAGAAUGUGACAUGUUUUAGCAAGAAGUAAUUUGUGAUGCACUCUACAGCGCAUGACUUUUAAUGUUAUUAUUGUAUUAACUUGAUAUUAAAUGGCUAUAAUUUGGGAUAAUCAGAAACAUGUUUCAGUGUGUUUCAAAAGAAUUGAUAUCAAUAUAUAUCUUUAUUUAUACAUAUAUAUCAACCUACCUAUAUAUAUUCAUAUUUCUGGGUCUGUUUAAUAUUGCUUGUGUGUAUACAAUGUUAGGACUGAGUAUUUGGUAUUGGAUAACCAAUUAGAAGGCUAAAUAAAAAUUUAAAAGGGUAUUAAAUUAGUAAACGUGAAAUCAGUAGAUAGUCUAUGAAAAAUUCCUGUCAGAAAUAGCUGCAAAGAAAUUUGUUCUUUCUGUCCUUUGUAAGAGAAAAUGGAGCUGUCCCAUAGAUUUUAUAAAUUUAAAAGGACGUUAUUAUUCUUGCAGAUCCCUGAACAAGAAAUAGCCUUCUGUGACUGUGUAGUAAUAAAAUCUAUUUUAAACACUGAUUAAUCUUUCAAAGCCUAGCAAGGAGCUGGAGAACUGAGAACCCUGGAGGAAGUUCAGAGCGCUCCCCUGAAAACUGUGACGUAAAAUCUCUAGUUCAGGGUUAGUGUGGCAAUAUGAGGUGGAGCCAGCAUGAGGCCUUUCUCUCAGCUCGCUCUUAUGCUGUAGACAGUGUUCCUGGGAAAGAAGUUGGACUCUGAACCUUCAUUCUUUCAUGUGUAGCUAAAGUUUCCAUUUGUUAAUUAAUCUAAUCAUAUCGCUGGUAGUGUGGGAAUCCACUCUCAAUACGGAGCCUGGGCAGCCCAGGGCAGCCUCUUUGUACAUCUCUCUCAGGAAAGAGCAAUCUGAUCAAGUACCCUGUUUUCAACAAGAAGGAUUACACCAAGAUAAUCGAAUAUAUUGUUGUGUAGUGCUGUGUCCUCUCUAAAGAGCCCCAGCAAUUUCAGUUCCCCACAAUGUUAAAUGACUAUUGUAUGUAAGUAGUGACACAAUUUCUGGUAUAUCGUGAGGAUCCUGAUGAAGAUCCUGAACAACUGUAAGCACGUUGUAGAAUACGCCAGUGGGAGAGGAACUGGAAAAGCAUCCUCCUCCCUCCUGCUGUGGAGACCAAAAGACAUAGAGAAUGAUUGAUUUAAAAAAAAAAUAACAUUAAAGAAAUUAUUAAGGUUUUGCAACAGAAAUUAUCAUUCCCCUCUUUUCUUCAUGCCCUCCAGUUUUCCCAUAUGAACCCCUAUGUCUCCUCUCUUUCCCCUUAAAUUCUAUUAAAUUCAUGGCAUCUAUUUCUAUGAUCAUCAUUGUUAUAUAUGAUCAAUAUUGUUAUAUAUAUGUGUGUGUGUACAUGUGCAUAUGUGUAUGUAAAUAUAAAUACAACAUAAUGAGUCUGUCUAAUGUUGCUUGUAUGUAAAAUUCUUUAAAAUGUGCCCUCAAAAACUUGAUUAUGUUUCCUUCAGAACUUACGGAUCUUAUAAAUUCAAUAAAGUGGCCUAUAUAAAAGUGGCCAUAUUUGGAACAACAAUGACAGCUAUUUACCAAGAAAGUUAGUUGUGUUUUAAGUAGCAUUCUUGUCUUAGCUCCUUAAUGCAAGUCCAUUAUCAGUGCUUCAUUGGCUUCACAUGGAGGAAAAGCUUUCACUGUCCUCCUUGUGGGGUUUUGAUUGAUUUCUUGAUCUCAGAUGUUGUCAACAUGCAUUUUUGAUGCUUUUCUCUUAAAUUGUCCAUUUAAAACUGCCAUUUACGAUGCAAAUGUCAUUAGUAGAACAACUAAGAAAGCCUCCCCUCUUCCUUUCUUGUUUCUACUGAAUGGUUGAAUGACAUCAUAUUUUAUCCAGUAUUAUAAUGUACUUUAUUUAGAGCUGACACGACAUUCCGGAAAAAUGAAACAUUGUGAUAUUAUAUUCCAGGGGACUGUAUGACUUAUCCACAAAUUAUCUUUGGCUUUUAAAAAUAAUCAGCAGUUUCCUAACCAGAUCAACAUGUAUCCCCAUUAAAGAUAGAAAAGCGAAGCAACUGGAUGAUAAUUGGUAAAAAGUACACUGGAGAAGUUUUAGUAUUUAUAUUUGGUUACCUGUAUUGUCUUACUAGUUACACAACCAAAUACCUGAAAGAAGUAUUCAAUAAUGACCUUUGAAUAGAUCAUAGCAUCUUACAAAUUAAGUUUCAGAUGUUUGGAGCACUAUUGAACACAUUGUUGAUGACCAUUAACUCUAGAUAACCAAGUAAAAUGGCCAUUCUUCAUUCAUCCAAUCAAAUAGACACUAUCUAGCCUACCUGUAUGUAAGUUGCUCUGGGUAAAUAUUCUGUUGUCAAGACUGGCAAGCAACUAUAGUAACUACCUAAGAAAAUCAGGCACUAAGUUAUGUCUAUAUUUUCAAUAUAUGGAUUUUAAAAGUAAGAUUC